UACGUAGGCAGCAAGCGUUGUUCGGAGUUCUGGGCGUAAAGGGUGCGUAGGCGGCCGCGCAAGUCUGGCCGUGAAGCCCGGCUCAGCCCGGGAAGGGCGCUCGAAACGGCGCGGCUCGAGUGCCGGAGGGGAGAGUGGAAUUCCUGGUGUAGCGGUGAAAUGCGUAGAUAUCAGGAGGAAUACCGGUGGCGAAAGCGACUCUCUGGGACGGC
rnacentral:rRNA from 1 species